GCCACGCUGGGAAGCUGCUGAUCCUAGACUUAGGCUUGGAGGGGCUACAUGUGGCAGGAUCAGCCUUUCCAGGACUUGCAGAGUGGUGCUGAAACCCUCCUUUCCAGAUGGUUUGGUGCCAGUGCUGUCCCUCAGUCUGGAUCAGCACGUGAGGCUCUGGUGGCUGCCACAUGGAGCUCAGCCCUGCCUGGGCCAGGAAAGGGAGCAGUGCCCUGUGGCCAGAAUGCCUCCAUAUGGAUGAGAAAGAAGAGUCUGUCUCCAUAGCUCUGGGUGGACUUUGUGCAAUGAAGCUGAAACACCAGAAGACUUGCUCAGCCAACUCUGCCUGCCCCACCUCCCUGCUGAGCUCUGUGAUUCAUCCUCCAGUAAUUAACCAUCAGCAGCACAGAAAGUACCUGCCUCGACACAAGUGUGAAAAACACUUCUGCACCUAAACGGGAGCCGGACUGAAGCUUUCCACUUCGAGUGACACCCGGGGAGCUGCGAAGUGACAAAAGGAGUUGCCAAAACUCCCCAAACACGUGCUGGUUUCUGUGCAGCAUCCUUUGCGCUGUACUUUGGGGUCUGAAAGCACAAAAGCCCCAUUUGCUGAGUCUGAGUUGCUUAUGGGGGGUGUGGGGGUGGCAGGUUUUUCACUUGCUGGGCUGACCAGGAUCCUUGGAGCCCUGCCUGCAGAGAGUGCUUUGACCUGCUUGGCUCAUCUCUUGCUCCUCAGCUGAAUUUUCCCUGCUCUGCAUCCCUGAGUUUAUCUCAGAGUAGGAUUUUUGCACAGGACACUCGUGCACACAGGAUCCUGUGUUGGCUGCCACCCUCUCCUUACUGAGUCCCAGUCCUGCAAUUUAAUGUUAGGAGAGCUGCACAGUUUUCUCUUGCCUGCCUGAUAAUAACUUUGCAGGGACUUUAUACACUGAUAACCCCAGCAUGCUACACUCCAUUUGGGUCUCUCACCACCAGCUGCUCUGCAUCAGCCCAUUAUAACAAACUGAUUAUAGCCACAGCUCCUCAUUGCUGUUUUAGAGGACAUCUCUGCUUUUCUUGAGCUUCUUAGGAGCUGGGCUUUGGGGCCACAAGCCCAGUUUGGGGUUUGCCUGUUGAGAUGUGGCUCAAUUAAUGCUUUUCUUUCACUUACUGUCAAGUCCCAUGGUGUCUCACAUGGUGCAAAAUGAGAGGGAUCCUCGCUGCUCUUGGGGAGAAGAAGAAGAAGAACAUGAGGAAAGUGCUUCUUGAAGAAGCAGAACAUGAGGAAAGUUCAGCCUCAGAUGCAGCUGAGCACAGCAGCAGCCUCUUCCAGAAGCUCAUUGCACCUGAACUUGUGCCUGUGGGCAGCCAGGGGAUAGAGACUUUUGUCCUGAAUUAAUUUCUUGCCAUCUUUUUCCUCCUCUUUGAGCUUGUGUGAGGAGAUGGGAGUUGUUGGGCUGUGAGCUGCUCCUCCCAUGUUGGAGGGAAGUCAGCUUCCAGCAGGCUCCAUAUGUGUGACCAGUGGCUUUGAACACACUCAGUUCAGGCCUCCAUUGCAACCUGAGCUGCAAAACAACUUGGAAAUGUGUUUUAUAGCUGUGUUUCACCUUUCCCAUGUGGAGAAUGUGUCAAGCUCUCUGUGGAUGUGUCCCUGUACUGCCCAGAGCUCAAUUCCUGGCUUGCAGAGAGCAAGGCAAUGAUCCCAACUUAGCCAGUGAGAGCUCAUGCAUGUGAUGCUGCUCUUCUUUCUGCUGACAUUUCUAGAUGUUGGUGUUCUGCAGUGCAGAAUGCAGGGAAAAAAACGUUUGAGGAACAUGGGCAGAACCAAGACCUUGCCCUGUGUCCUGCUCCAGCACGACAGAGGGAGUUUCCUGCCCUGCAUAAAUGGUGAGACAGUGUGUGGUUGUCAGCAGUUCUGCCUGAAAACGCCUGCUGGAGCAGGUAACUGUGUUUGUUUUAAUGGCUGGAUGUAUACACUCAUUAUUUCUCCUUGGUUUUGCAUUGUGAACAUGCAGAAACGUGGAACCAUACAUAUGUAUGUUCCAUAUCACACACAAAUACACAGCCUGCAACACGCACCAGCACAAUGCAGCGUUAAACCAGGGGGCUUUCACUUCUCUUAAUUACCUAAUUACAUUGAUUCUUACAUUCUAGUACGUCUUGGUUUUUAUCUGAACUUUCCAGAAGGUGUAAGCAAUACACAUCUUGUCACAUCCCAUUUUCACACUAGCGCUGUUGCUGUAUGAACCAUUGCUCGAAAUAAAACACGACGAGAAUAGGCAGCCAUCUGUCUGGGAAGCACAUGCAGUCCCAGAUGGCAGCUCCUCUCCUGCUUGCUGGUAGCAGAGUCCUCUGCCUGAGGAACACAGCAGAAAUGUGUAACAGUUCAGCAGGGAUAUGUAGAACGUGUGGUCCUCCCCCGGGCUGGGGCUCCAGCGAUGGGAGGGGAGGGAAACUUGAAACUUGGAGCACGGAGCCCAUCCCUAAGGAGGGCAGGUGUUCAUCUCACUCACUCUGUGCUCAGCUCUCUGGGAAUGAGGUUCCCCACCCUGUCUGUGUGAAUAUUCCUUUGGAAUGGUGAUUUCCAUCACGGGGGCCUGAUGGAAAAAGAGCCCACAGGACCUUGUAAAGCCGGAGGGAGGUAAAAGCCCCUGAGCAGUUCUCUCUGGACUGCCCACACAGGUGACUCUGCUCGGUUUGCAGGCAGCUUGGUCACCGAGAACUGGCACAUGCCAACCUCCAAGGGUCACAAACCACCUCACAGCCAGUGUCCCUCCACCAAGGAGCUGCCCUGUGUCGUUCAGGACAAGUGACACUGCUGCCACCCCUCAGGCAGUGCUGCUUGUGAAACCACAGCAUGGCAAUGUUUCCUGCCAGCAGAGGUGAAUGGUGAUGAAAUACCUCUGCUUAGCAAAGCCUG